CCACAUCACGAAAGUGGAUUGUACUAGAAGUCUGCAGGCUGACCCGCAAGGGAGGCAGCGGCCCAAGGUAUGAUCCAUGAUUGGGGUG
rnacentral:rRNA from 1 species